GGCCGGAUAGCUUAGUGGUCAAAGUUUUUCCGAUUAAUGGAAGCGACCCAGGUUCGACUCCUGGUCCGACUC
rnacentral:tRNA from 2 species